rnacentral:rRNA from 1 species
UACAGAGGGGGCAAGCGUUGUUCGGAAUUACUGGGCGUAAAGGGCGCGUAGGCGCCUUCUAAGUCGAACGUGAAAUCCCUGGGCUCAACCCAGGAACUGCGUCCGAUACUGGAAGGCUUGAAUCCGGGAGAGGGAUGCGGAAUUCCAGGUGUAGCGGUGAAAUGCGUAGAUAUCUGGAGGAACACCGGUGGCGAAGGCGGAUUUCUGGACCAGUUCUGACACUGAGGAGCGAAAGCCAGGGGAGCAAACAGG